rfam:Heterocephalus glaber contig220211, whole genome shotgun sequence.
GUGUAGCUCAGUGGUAGAGCACUUGCCUGUAUGAGACUCUGGGUUUGAACCCCAGCAC